UAGGGAAUUUUGCGCAAUGGACGAAAGUCUGACGCAGCAACGCCGCGUGAAGGAUGAAGGCCCUCGGGUUGUAAACUUCUGUUGGAUGGGAAAAAAUGCCGCAAGGUACUGAUGGUACCAUUCGAGUAAGCACCGGCUAACUACGUGCCAGCAGCCGCGGUAAUACGUAGGGUGCAAGCGUUGUUCGGAAUCACUGGGCGUAAAGAGAGCGUAGGCGGGAUUGUAAGUUAGGAGUUUAAUGCAUGGGCUUAACCCAUGAUCUGCUUUUAAUACUGCAGUUCUUGAGUAUGGGAGAGGGUGAUGGAAUUCCAGGUGUAGCGGUGGAAUGCGUAGAUAUCUGGAAGAACACCAGUAGCGAAGGCGGUCGCCUGGCCCAAUACUGACGCUGAGGCUCGAAAGCUAGGGGAGCAAACAGGAUUAGAUACCCUGGUAGUCCUAGCCGUAAACGAUGGACACUAGUUGCCGGAAGAGU
rnacentral:rRNA from 1 species